GUGAACUCCGUGCGAGAAGGCGCGGUAAUGCGGAGGAUGCAAGCGUUAUCCUGAUUUAUUGGGUUUAAAGGGUCCGUAGGCGGGCUUGUAAGUCAGGGGUGAAAUCCGGCAGCUCAACUGUCGAACUGCCAUUGAUACUGCAAGUCUUGAGUAAAUUAGAAGUGGCUGGAAUAAGUAGUGUAGCGGUGAAAUGCAUAGAUAUUACUUAGAACACCAAUUGCGAAGGCAGGUCACUAUGUUUUAACUGACGCUGAUGGACGAAAGCGUGGGUAGCGAACAGGAUUAGAUACCCGAGUAGUC
rnacentral:rRNA from 1 species